rnacentral:rRNA from 1 species
CCUACGGGGGGCUGCAGUGGGGAAUAUUGCACAAUGGGCGCAAGCCUGAUGCAGCCAUGCCGCGUGUGUGAAGAAGGCCUUCGGGUUGUAAAGCACUUUCAGCGGGGAGGAAGGCGUUAAGGUUAAUAACCUUGGCGAUUGACGUUACCCGCAGAAGAAGCACCGGCUAACUCCGUGCCAGCAGCCGCGGUAAUACGGAGGGUGCAAGCGUUAAUCGGAAUUACUGGGCGUAAAGCGCACGCAGGCGGUCUGUCAAGUCGGAUGUGAAAUCCCCGGGCUCAAUCUGGGAACUGCAUUCGAAACUGGCAGGCUAGAGUCUUGUAGAGGGGGGUAGAAUUCCAGGUGUAGCGGUGAAAUGCGUAGAGAUCUGGAGGAAUACCGGUGGCGAAGGCGGCCCCCUGGACAAAGACUGACGCUCAGGUGCGAAAGCGUGGGGAGCAAACAGGAUUAGAUACCCUAGUAGUC